GAUGAACGCUGGCGGCGUGCCUAAUACAUGCAAGUCGAGCGAACGGACGAGAAGCUUGCUUCUCUGAUGUUAGCGGCGGACGGGUGAGUAACACGUGGAUAACCUACCUAUAAGACUGGGAUAACUUCGGGAAACCGUAGCUAAUACCGGAUAAUAUUUUGAACCGCAUGGUUCAAAAGUGAAAGACGGUCUUGCUGUCACUUAUAGAUGGAUCCGCGCUGCAUUAGCUAGUUGGUAAGGUAACGGCUUACCAAGGCAACGAUGCAUAGCCGACCUGAGAGGGUGAUCGGCCACACUGGAACUGAGACACGGUCCAGACUCCUACGGGAGGCAGCAGUAGGGAAUAUUACGCAAUGGGCGAAAGCAUGACGGAGCAACGCCGCGUGAGUGAUGAAGGUCUUCGGAUCGUAAAACUCUGUUAUUAGGGAAGAACAUAUGUGUAAGUAAAUGUGCACAUCUUGACGGUACCUAAUCAGAAAGCAACGGCUAACUACGUG
rnacentral:rRNA from 1 species